rnacentral:rRNA from 1 species
AACAAAUAUUAAAGGCAAUGCCUGCCCAGUGAACAAUUAAACGGCCGCGGUAUCCUAACCGUGCAAAGGUAGCAUAAUCAUUUGUCUAUUAACUGUAGACCUGUAUGAAAGGCAAAAUGAGGGUUUAACUGUCUCUUAUAAUAAAUCUAUUAAACUGAUCCCCCAGUAAAAAAGCUGGGAUACCCCCAUAAGACCAGAAGACCCUGUGAAGCUUUAACUAAACUAUUAAACCAAAUAAUAACUACUUUAGGUUGGGGCGACCUUGGAAACAAAAAGAACUUCCAACACAUACUAAAUAAACAGGCUAACAAGCCAAUUAACGACCCAGUAACACUGAUAAUUGAACCAAGUUACUCCAGGGAUAACAGCGCUAUCUUCUUCAAGAGCCCAUAUCAAAAAGAAGGUUUACGACCUCGAUGUUGGAUCAGGACACCCAAAUGGUGCAACCGCUAUUAAAGGUUCGUUUGUUCAACGAUUAAAGUCCU